rnacentral:rRNA from 1 species
CUCAUCAUGAGGCSAGCUGAUGCAGCACGCCGCGUGCGGAUGACGGCCUUCGGGUUGUAAACCGCUUUUAGUAGGGAAGAAGCCUUCGGGUGACGGUACCUGCAGAAAAAGGACCGGCUAACUACGUGCCAGCAGCCGCGGUAAUACGUAGGGUCCGAGCGUUGUCCGGAAUUAUUGGGCGUAAAGAGCUCGUAGGCGGUUUGUCGCGUCUGCUGUGAAAACUAGAGGCUCAACCUCUAGCCUGCAGUGGGUACGGGCAGACUUGAGUGGUGUAGGGGAGACUGGAAUUCCUGGUGUAGCGGUGGAAUGCGCAGAUAUCAGGAGGAACACCGAUGGCGAAGGCAGGUCUCUGGGCACUUACUGACGCUGAGGAGCGAAAGCGUGGGGAGCGAACAGGAUUAGACCCCCUGGUAGA